AAAAAGUCAGUCCAGAGAAGAUGGAAACUCAGAUAAUAUGGGUUUUAAACGAUGGAGAUUUUCUUGUGUUUAUGCAGUAAGCUUGAACCAGGUGAUACAAAACAUGAACAUUUGAAAUACUAAAACUUAGCAGCAGUAAUAAGCUGUAGGCUAUAUAGCACAAACAGAGACAUCCUUCUAAAUAGUCACAGCUCAGCACAUAGCUCUCUGAAAACGUAAAGCAGCAGGGAGAUGUAGAUAAAAAAAACCUACAAACAAACAACCAUCAUUUUCAACCUAACUUUGCCUCUAAGUCUAUUCUAAAAUUCCAAACAUCCCCAUGUACAGAUGCCAUCAUAUUCUUUCUCCACCCCAGAUAUCUAAAUUUCCCAUUGCUCAAAUCAAAAUUCACCGAGAGAAAUAUACCAGAAAAAAAGAUUACUACACUCCAAGUUUCUCUAAUUAAAAUGGUCUAAUGAUGACUCUCGGAUCAUAAGGUUCCGUUAAGAUAUAACCCUUCAACCAACUUCACCAAUUACAGUAAAGCUAAUCCCCAAUAAUCGAAAGAAAUGGACUAAGCCCUAUCACCAUUCACCACGAUUCUCACUCAAAAAGUUUCCCAACUGCAAAAUUCAUAUAGUUGAC